GAUGAACGCUGGCGGCGUGCCUAAUACAUGCAAGUCGAGCGAACGGACGAGAAGCUUGCUUCUCUGAUGUUAGCGGCGGACGGGUGAGUAACACGUGGAUAACCUACCUAUAAGACUGGGAUAACUUCGGGAAACCGGAGCUAAUACCGGAUAAUAUUUUGAACCGCAUGGUUCAAAAGUGAAAGACGGUCUUGCUGUCACUUAUAGAUGGAUCCGCGCUGCAUUAGCUAGUUGGUAAGGUAACGGCUUACCAAGGCAACGAUGCAUAGCCGACCUGAGAGGGUGAUCGGCCACACUGGAACUGAGACACGGUCCAGACUCCUACGGGAGGCAGCAGUAGGGAAUCUUCCGCAAUGGGCGAAAGCCUGACGGAGCAACGCCGCGUGAGUGAUGAAGGUCUUCGGAUCGUAAAACUCUGUUAUUAGGGAAGAACAUAUGUGUAAGUAACUGUGCACAUCUUGACGGUACCUAAUCAGAAAGCCACGGCUAACUACGUGCCAGCAGCCGCGGUAAUACGUAGGUGGCAAGCGUUAUCCGGAAUUAUUGGGCGUAAAGCGCGCGUAGGCGGUUUUUUAAGUCUGAUGUGAAAGCCCACGGCUCAACCGUGGAGGGUCAUUGGAAACUGGAAAACUUGAGUGCAGAAGAGGAAAGUGGAAUUCCAUGUGUAGCGGUGAAAUGCGCAGAGAUAUGGAGGAACACCAGUGGCGAAGGCGACUUUCUGGUCUGUAACUGACACUGAUGUGCGAAAGCGUGGGGAUCAAACAGGAUUAGAUACCCUGGUAGUCCACGCCGUAAACGAUGAGUGCUAAGUGUUAGGGGGUUUCCGCCCCUUAGUGCUGCAGCUAACGCAUUAAGCACUCCGCCUGGGGAGUACGACCGCAAGGUUGAAACUCAAAGGAAUUGACGGGGACCCGCACAAGCGGUGGAGCAUGUGGUUUAAUUCGAAGCAACGCGAAGAACCUUACCAAAUCUUGACAUCCUUUGACAACUCUAGAGAUAGAGCCUUCCCCUUCGGGGGACAAAGUGACAGGUGGUGCAUGGUUGUCGUCAGCUCGUGUCGUGAGAUGUUGGGUUAAGUCCCGCAACGAGCGCAACCCUUAAGCUUAGUUGCCAUCAUUAAGUUGGGCACUCUAAGUUGACUGCCGGUGACAAACCGGAGGAAGGUGGGGAUGACGUCAAAUCAUCAUGCCCCUUAUGAUUUGGGCUACACACGUGCUACAAUGGACAAUACAAAGGGCAGCGAAACCGCGAGGUCAAGCAAAUCCCAUAAAGUUGUUCUCAGUUCGGAUUGUAGUCUGCAACUCGACUACAUGAAGCUGGAAUCGCUAGUAAUCGUAGAUCAGCAUGCUACGGUGAAUACGUUCCCGGGUCU
rnacentral:rRNA from 1 species